UCGCCUCCCCACGCUACACGAUGCCAUCUUGAAGUUCCGUUAAUAGAAUGCUUCUCGUUGAGUCAGUACAGCGAGUCCUGCUUGUUUAUCUAACACACGACUUUGCAGUGUUAAAGUUAAGACAUCUACAGAAUGAUAGCAGUGGUAGCUAACGACUGCAAGUUUGUAGACCGAAUACGACGCAUAAAACCUUUUUGAACUUCACCGAAGUAUGAUGCCUACAAGACGCAGAGCCGAAGCACAAGUAAACGGAUGCGUGAUUUUAAGUUUCUUCUUCUUGACAUUUAUGUAUGUGUGUGAGCAAAGGAACUGUCAACGUACGGGUGCACUUGUCACGACAAAUGUCCACAAUACAUUUCAAUUUACAAAGAACCACCACUUGUAGUGAAGUGAUGCAAGUAACAUGAAAGUUCUGACAUAGAAGGUAGUGGUACAUUCAGAUUGCUGGAAGAUUGGGCAGACUUGCCACUUCCACCUCAGAUAAAUAUGAAGAAGAGUGGUCAUUCUUGAAGACAAGACUACUUUUGCCAGUUUGGAGAGGUUCUGCCACUCGGCACUAUGAAUGCAGCAGUAUUCAUUGUACCCUUUACAUCACAUGGUUCUACUGAGUUGCCUGCAGAGAGGUCCUUUAACAAGCUUAUUGAUGGAUUGGGACUGAAUAUCAAGUGGGGAUAGUUGCAAGCAAAAAAAUCAGUGCCUUGCGGUGAUAACAGAAGAGGACAUUUUUCUGGAGUUAUGGUCUUCCAAGAGGUAGAGUCCUACUUCCUCCCUCUUGUGCUUUUGUCAUACCUUUGAGGCAUUGCAUUAGAUGUGAUCGUUUGACAACAAAAUCUUAGUCAGUGUCAGUGUCUGUUUUUGUAUUAUAGUAUAUGCUUUUUUCUUUUAAAUCUAUUUGAAAAGUCAACUGCACACACUAUGUUAAAUUUCAGCUUUUUUUUUUUUUUUUUUUUUUUUGAAGUCGGUAAUAAUCUGAAUUAUAUUUUUUACAAUUUUGCUUGAAAUUGAAACUAUUUCUUGGUUUGGUCUGAGGCUAAUUCUUAGAAGUCAAAUGCAUUUUUAAGGGAUGAGAUGGAGCUAUUUACCCAUUAAUGCACAAAAGUAAUCUGUUUUAAAAGUAUUUUAAACUAAAGGAGGACAAAACAAAUGCAUCAAAUGUACAGAAUUGUCACAUUUUUUCAACAGUAGCUGUCCUGGUCUUGGUGUAUUAGUUAAAGAACUCGUUACGGGACUACAUGAAACACCUUUCAGAACGUUUAACCAGCAUCUUCGUUCAUUUGUUACAUCCAUAAAACAAACGGUGUAGACACUCAAGUCUGUAAGAUAAACAGUCUGUAUUUUUCACUAAUACCUGUGGCCUAUGAGUGGGUUGUAAUGGUCCCGACUGAGUAGGCCAGAGGGCCGCUCGUAGAAGUAUCAGUCAUGUUUCAUCCACUUUGUGGUGGAAGAGUUGAUAUAGAACCCUCUUCUUGGACCCCCCUUUUAAGGUCAUAUCCCUGUCGGAGACAUUACAUAACAUGACAUUCCUAUUUGCUCAAUCAAAAAUGAAAUGAAGGACAAAUGGCGAACCAACCCCUUAUGAGAGAAAGCAAGUUGCCCUGAAAACAGAACAAAGGGAAACUUGCAUCACAUGAUGCCAGAAUUAAUUGAGAGACACUCAAAUACAUUUUCCAAAAAUACACGUCGCUAUAACACAUCAACUCCCCUUUUUUCUUGCCCGUGUGAUAAAUCAAAUCAAAUCAGACUUUAUUGUCGAGGAGACCCAAGACAGAAAUUUUUCUUUUGCUCACAAGGGGAGGCAUACAUACUCACACAGACAUCUAACGCACACAUAAUAAUUACUACCUGUUCAUCACCUGCAGGCAAACAACAUUACAAAUUGUCAUCUAUUGGCCUGUGACAGAAAUCCCUGCAUUUCAUUAAUUAUUUAGAUUGAGCGCAGAGAGCUCGUCUUGUUUGUUCGAAAGGGAGCGCACAUUCAACAAGGUGAUGGCUGAUAAUGGAUAUCAGCACCCUCUUCUCUUCAGACUGUGUUUGAUUCCUCGUGAGUCCUUACACGCAUUUACAUUAUAUUCUUUCAUGGUUAUUUCCCAGAACAUAUACAGAAUCUUAUUACACCAAAAAAUCUUCCUAAAACAUGUGAUGCAAAAUUUUUUACUUAUCCUUCAUUCUCCCUUUGCAGGGGUGAAGACAUAUCACAUGCCAUCUCGCGGCAUCAACAUUUCCCAUCUUACAAAUCUCGCCUCAACAGCACGCUAUUUAACAGAAAAUGUGGUGGAUUUCAGUUAUGAGAAACAUGCAAAAGCGCUUCUCAAUUUUUCCAUUCUGACUUUCUAUUAUAUCUCCAUUUUACCUAUUUGCUACACGUGGGAAAAACAUGGUAUCUCUCCAUACUAAAAUCUACAACCAUUCUGCGUAUUUGAAACUUAGGGCACACAAAAAUACAACAUCCUCUAAAAACAGGGUCUCAGGCGUGUAACCACAAUAAUAUCUCCUAUAAGCCUAACAUCGACACCCUUAUUCUUUACAAACCAGUCUAACAUUGGCAUCACCACAAAGAUGCUACAUGGGGAGAAUAUCUCUUUUCCUCAAAUGGGAAAUCCUUGAUCAUCCUACACAUUGUAAACGGAAAUCAUACAAAAUUGCAACAUUCUCUUAGGCCAUAGUCUUAGCACCAUUUUUUUUUUUUCUUGUGUGUGUGUGUGUGCAAGGCGCCUCCUCCAUUGCAGACACUCUUCAUUUUCAGACGUGCUAGCAGCAUGGGAAACCCCAUUCAUGAGCUUCUUAAAUUUUUCUGCUCCAUUGCAAUAGUCGUCUAAAACAAAACAUCAUAAACAAAGUUAUAAUUAUAACAUGCUACACAUGUACCAAAUAUUCAUUAAUUAUUUAAUUAAAUAUGCACACAUGAAAAAUUCACCCGAUUCAUUCUUUAUUCCCACAAAUGGGAAUAUACUCCAUGAUUCUUCUGGUUUAAUGCAGUCUAUAACUGCUCUGAAAUGUUCAGGCCAGUAGCAUGUUUUAUUGGCCAGAUUUAGCCACAAAGCUGGCACUAUGGCUGAAUAGUGUUGAAGGCCGGCGAGAAAUCAGCAAACAACAGUCAAGCAUGGGCUUGAGGAUUCUCCAGGUGUUUGAGUAAAGUGUGGAGGAUGAACAGUUUAGCAUCAUCAAUACUUCGUUUGGACUGGUAUGCAAAGUGCAAGGGAUCAAGACAAUUGUUAGUGGCUUUAAGAAUCAAUGCCUUGAUGAUUGUCUCAAAUAUCUUUAUGACCAACGAUGUUAAGGCCACUGGUCUAAAGUCAUUGAGGUGCCGAGCUGAAACUUUCUUUGGAACUGGGACAAUGGUUGACAAUUUCCAAGCAGCUAGGAUGGAGAGUGAAUCGUAGAGCGCUGAAAAACAUGUUGAAAAAUGCCUCCAAGUUGGUGCGCACAGAAACGUAGUGUUCUGCCACAAAUACCAACCGGACCUGAGGCCUUGCGAAUAUUUACUCACUGAAACAGCUCCACAACUUGUUUAUGACAAAUUUCAACCUUCUGUACAGGGUGAAGAGAACUAAGCACAUCUUUAAAGUUCACUGAGAAGUCAUGAGUCUCAAAACAAGCAAAGAAAGCAUUAAGAGCAUUAGGUAGGGCCGUACUGUCGACCCCUGAGAUCAAGAUUUUUUCUUUCGACCCCUCACGCCGAUCGUCAAUAUUGGCCAUGUUCUUGAGUCCCUGCCAAGCUACUCGGAUGUUACCUUUAGCAACCUGAGACUCGAUUUUGGACUUAUGUUUCACCUUGGCCCGACGGAUAGCAUCACGGACCUCUCUAUGUAUCAUUUUUUUGUCAUGGGCAGAACCCGUGAAGAACACAUUUCUUUUUAACUCUUUGAAGUCGGAAGAGCUAGAGGCAGUUUUACACACUUGUACGCAUGAUUUUUAACGUUUUUCAAAAAAUCAUAAAAAAAUAACUAAAAGACCUAGAAGAAUAAUUCAAAUUGAUAAUGAUAGAUCAAAAUGUGUAAAAUUUGAACAAUCCUACCUGAAACUUGCUUGAGAGCUCAUUUUUAUUAUUGUAAUCCAUACAGAAUUGGGUAGAUGAAGUAGAAAUUUUUUUCUACACGUGGUUACACAAGUUGUCACCGUACACGAAGUCUAACAAGAAAAUGACUUAUAGGAACACAUUUUGAUCUUUGAAAACCAAAAAGAAAUGCACACACAUUGUUCUUGUCCAUAGAAAUUCACAAAUGAUGCCAGAUUAAUUCCAGAUUUCUGAAAAUCCGAGGAACUAGCCGCAUAUUUAUCGUACAUCGUCUCGCCAUUUUUUUUCAAGGGGAAAAGAAAGGUUACUCUGGGAAAUUGAUGAGAGUUAAGUCAAGACAGAGUACCCUCCCUUUACAAGGGAAAUAACUGUGUUCAGAAAUGCACAAGCUAUCGUAACUAAGCGAUUUCUUUACGAAAAAAAGCGCUGUAAACGC
rnacentral:lncRNA from 1 species